UUUGAACCUGGCUCAGGAUGAACGCUGGCGGCGUGCUUAACACAUGCAAGUCGAACGAUGAAGCCCAGCUUGCUGGGUGGAUUAGUGGCGAACGGGUGAGUAACACGUGAGUAACCUGCCCUUAACUCUGGGAUAAGCCUGGGAAACUGGGUCUAAUACCGGAUAGGAGCGUCCACCGCAUGGUGGGUGUUGGAAAGAUUUAUCGGUUUUGGAUGGACUCGCGGCCUAUCAGCUUGUUGGUGAGGUAAUGGCUCACCAAGGCGACGACGGGUAGCCGGCCUGAGAGGGUGACCGGCCACACUGGGACUGAGACACGGCCCAGACUCCUACGGGAGGCAGCAGUGGGGAAUAUUGCACAAUGGGCGCAAGCCUGAUGCAGCGACGCCGCGUGAGGGAUGACGGCCUUCGGGUUGUAAACCUCUUUCCAGUAGGGAAGAAGCGAAAGUGACG
rnacentral:rRNA from 1 species